rnacentral:rRNA from 1 species
UACGUAGGUGGCAAGCGUUGUCCGGAUUUACUGGGCGUAAAGGGCGCGUAGGCGGUCAGCACAAGUCAGUUGUGAAAUCUCCGGGCUUAACUCGGAAAGGUCAACUGAUACUGUGCGACUAGAGUGCAGAAGGGGCAACUGGAAUUCUCGGUGUAGCGGUGAAAUGCGUAGAUAUCGAGAGGAACACCUGCGGCGAAGGCGGGUUGCUGGACAGUUCCUGACGCUGAGGCACGAAGGUCAGGGGAGCAAACGGG